GCUCGUCAAAGGAACCCUGGAUCUAACCGUCUGAAUUUUAAUGCACAGCGCAGUUUCAAGCGCACCAGCAACCGAUCCGGUCCACGAAGGCAACAGAAUCACAACAGCGCUAAUGGUGCCAGUUGGUGAAGAGAUGUAUCUGAGAAGGACCCACACUCUGAAGUCACAGGACCUAAAGUCUCUCAGACUCACUGCCAGUAAAGGGAGUCUUUCUUUUAGCCAUUCUGUGACACAUGCUGCUUGUUUUCUUUUAUUUCUUUUCAGAGGUCACUGAGACCUUCAACGAAAUGACCAUUAAAGCAUCGUUGUUUCUCACGACCAUGUCACACUUUACAUGAAGUGCUUUUCACAAAGUCCUCAAAAAGACAUGAUGCCUUAAUGCACAAUUUGUUACAUUGUGCACAGAGAAAUGUAACGCUGUAGAAGGUGGAUAUAUGGCUGGUAUAUAUAUGGGAAUAGGCAAGGGAAAUGUGAAGUCCUGUUUUAAGGAACAGUAAGUCAUAUAAUACAUGAUCUUAACAUCCCAGGUGUUAAGUAAGGUCAUGUCGUUAUGUUGCUGCGAGGAGGGGGAGUGAGGCGUGGCGGUAUCUUGCUGAACGUCGAAAAACGAGAAGCUUCGUGCUCUUCAGAAUAAGAGGACAGCUUGUUUAUUUACGUUUUAAAACCAAGGAAAAGUUUUGUCAGAUAUGUCAAACUAUAUAUUUUUCCAUGAAUUGAGGACGAAGGCAUUACAUCUGGUUUUUGCAACUACACAUUGUCUUAAGGACUAUACCAGAACAAAUCUCCUAUUAGGCAGUUGACAGCAUACCGUUAACUCUGAGGCACAUACAUCACUGUAUGACUUUGGUUUGCUAGAAUUUUUAGAAAUUUCCGAAUGCCUGUUGAGCAGCUAAAAAAGUCGUUUGGGAUUUGUUAGGAACGGUAUGUGAGAGAAGUGUCCUAAGGAAGGUUGAAGGGAUACACAGACUUGUUUCAUACAUUAUAGUGAAAGCCAUCAAUAAAACCAAUGAAUUAAUCUGUA